GCCUUGUGGCCUUGUCUCCCCUCAACAUCCAGGGUUGUCAUGAGGCCCAGUGUGGAUAUGGGAAUUCUUCUGGGAACUGGGCUUACAGAUGGGCUUCAGGAGAACCUCUGGUCCAGGUUGGAUUGUAAGAUAUGGAGACACCACUGCAGGAUGUGGGGGACACCACUGCAGGAUGUGGGGGACACCACUGCAAGAUGUGGGGGCACACCGCUAGAGACAGCCCUACAGACUGCUCUGAGCUAUGUGGACAAACCAGUGUUUUAGCAUCCCAGGACUGGAGCUGGAAAGGCGCUGGAAGAGGACUCUCACAGCCUGGCUGGAGCCUGAGGGGACAAGAGAAGGGACUGAGGCGGACAUCCAGCACCGGGCCACCCCCUCCGCCUCUAGCUUGCAGAAUUACACAAAGAAGCAAAGACCAUACAAGAAUGAUCGGAUGUCCAAGUGGGAAAAUUCUGCAAACAACAUGUUGGGGUUUUGUCUAAGCUCCACCACACACCUACCUGGCAAUAGCCAGGUAUGCCCCGCCCCAGAGAUCUGGCCCCACUAUAAGAGGGGCUACUUGUUCCUCCUUUCCCUCUUUGCUCUCUGCUCUCCCACACUCUCUCACCUCUCUGCCCCUGGGGCUCUUCCCCCCUCCACAUGGUCAUGGCCGGCCUCCACUCUCUCUCUAUUUUCUCUCUCUCUAUCUCUCUCUCUCUCUUUUUUUUCUCUUUCCCUCUCUCUCUGCCUCUCUCUACCACUAACUCCCAUCCCCUACUCUGAAUAAACUCUAUUCUAUACCA